GUGUGUGUGUUUGCAUGUGUAAAUAUGUGUGAGUGUUUCUGUUUUUUUCGUGAGCAUGCAUGAGCUCUUCUUUGUUCCGUCUGCCAUUCUGGCCCCUGUGUAGCCGGUGUUUGCUGCACACUGUACGGCUGAAUAGGGACUGCGUGGGCCUGACCUGCGAUCUCACCGCCCACCACUCGCACAGACACACAGCCUGGGAAACAGCCUCCAUUUUAGCCUUGUUUCUACAUCCUCCUCAGGGGACAGCGAGGACUGCAGCUGUCCCUAUGACAACCUCAGUGCUACUGUCAAUCACUAUGGCUGCCUUAUCCUCCUUGGCUUAUAUACUAUACACACACAAGCCCAAGCUGCAGUGCUUCAUCCACGAGGAAGGGAACGACUUCAGACUGAAAUGAAUUGUACCUAUGCCAUCGUGUAAAUGAUCACAGCUUUGACUAUGCAAAUUCAGGGGCAGAAAGAAUGAGACGCAGUCCAGAGAGGAGGCUGAUUAAGAGAAUACAUCAACUCAUAUUCAGGCUCAAGGAUCAUCCAUGUAUUUGCUGAUGCUUUAUACACACCAGCCAGUCAGGGAAACAUGACAUGCCAUAAUUGUCAUACGAAAACCUUGUGUGAAAACUUUGUAUCUCUGUUUUUGUCUUGCAGUCACAACCAAAAGAAGGUAAUAUUCUGUAUUUUUCUUACUGAUAAAAAAUUAGAAGACAAAGAACAAAAGGAAUAAUCUAAAGUAUUCUAAGUAUUAACUGUGUGUCAAACGUGUAAUAUACCUUAUUUUCUGUGCUUCAGACUUCCAUUAUCAUCCAAAAAAUUUUUUAAAAACACAUCAAUGAGCCACACUGUUGCACUGGUGACAUGUUUUGUCAUUAUUGUGAGCAU